AGUUAUAUAGUUUAAAUAAAACAUUAAUUUUGUAAAUUAAUAAUAAUUAUAUAUA
rnacentral:tRNA from 1 species